CAGGCGCCUCCUCUGCUCAUGAGUUAAGUUUCCCGGCAGCAGCGUCUCUGAAGUCUCAUCGAGCCCUAAAGGUCAGUCGAUCCGAGCGGAGCUGACUGAAACCAUCCAGGCCUGGAGUUCUGCUUCUGAUCCGCUCAGGCUGGCGGAAAGUGUUCAAAACAUGACUCUGAGCAGUGAGAGCACAGGUCCAUCAGAAAAACUGAGUGAAGCUGUGAAGGAGCUGAGCUUGUGUGUGACUGAACAAGAUGAGCAGAAACUCACAAAGCUCCUUCUGCAGGUGGAAGAAGCUGUUGAGUCAUCUAUUACCAGCCCGUGUAGUGCUUGAAAUGAUAUUUUGCUAACAGAGAAAAGACCAGCAGAAAGGAUUUCUGCAGGGAGUGUGGCAGCAGUUGGCCUCCUCUGCUGUCCUUUCAGCUGUUCCACCUGCUCAAAGGGCUCCAUGCAGAAACACAAAGGGUACAGUACUGCUGAGGAGUUCCACUGCACGCUUCGGAUUCUCAGAAUGCUUCAGUAACCAGAACUGCCAGGGCAGAGGUUGGAAAAAAAAAAGACUUCAGCACUCAGACCUGAUGGUUCGCUGAGGCCAAACCACGCCCCCUGCCGGGAACUUUAAUUUAAACCCUCCUGUUGGGUUUGACGUGUGUCUGAGUUUUUUUUACGUUCUGUCUGAGACUGGUCGGUGUCGUGCGCCUGUCCUGCUUAAUAAGUGCCAGACGUGUCAGCCUUUGUCUUUUCUUUCCCCCUUUUUUUUAAAGAUCAGAUUUUAAAAAGAUGCAGGAACUUUCUGAGUGCGACUCAUCUGAAACAGUGAGGAGCAGAAAGCCCUGACGUUAGAGCGAGUCUUCAGAGUUGUUGGUUGUUUUCUGGAACAUGAAACUGGGAAAUAAGAGGGAACAAGAUGUCAACAGGAGGGGUGUUAGAAAAUAUCGAUACGCUGAAAUAUCACAGUAUUUCAUGUCUUGGUGAUGUAUGGAGUUUUAAUUAAGGCUUAAUGGAUGUUGUAAGAAAACUGUAAAAUACAAAUGCAGUUCUCACUGUUCAGAGUUCCUCUGCAGAAAAAUAAACUGAAUUUGUUCAGAU